rnacentral:rRNA from 1 species
AACGAACGCUGGCGGCAUGCCUAACACAUGCAAGUCGAACGAGACCUUCGGGUCUUUUUGCGCUCGUGUGCUUACCGCGUGGUAACUUGCCCUUAGGUUCCGUAUACCUCCCUUUAAGGUGUGCUCAUACCGCUUAAUCUCUUCCCACCUAAGAUUUCUCGCGUUUGGAUGGGCGCGCUUUGGAUUCGCUGGUUGGUAGUGUACACGCAUCCCAAGGCGUCGAUCCUUAGCUGGUCUGAUAGGAGGAUCAGCCACACUGGGACUGAGACACGGCCCAGACUGGUACGGGAGGGAGCAGAGGGGAAUAUUGGACAAGGGGCGAAAGCCUGAUAAAGCAAUGCCGGGGGAGUGAGGAAGGGGGUAGGGUAGUAAAGCCGUCUUACCCGGGAUGAUAAUGACGGUAACGGGAGAAUAAGCACCGGCUAACUACGUG